rnacentral:rRNA from 1 species
GAACGGAUCUUCUCCUUCGGGUAGAAGGUUAGUGGCGGACGGGUGACUAACACGUAGGCUACCUGCCCAUAAGACUGGGAUAACAUUCGGAAACGAAUGCUAAGACCGGAUACGCAAGCCUGGGGCAUCUCGGGCUUGGGAAACACGGCGCAAGCUGUGGCUUAUGGAUGGGCCUGCGGCGCAUUAGCUAGUUGGUGAGGUAACGGCUCACCAAGGCGACGAUGCGUAGCCGACCUGAGAGGGUGAACGGCCACACUGGGACUGAGACACGGCCCAGACUCCUACGGGAGGCAGCAGUAGGGAAUCUUCCACAAUGGGCGAAAGCCUGAUGGAGCAACGCCGCGUGAGUGAGGAAGGCUUUCGGGUCGUAAAGCUCUGUUGCCAGGGAAGAACAGGUCGGGGAGUAACUGCCCCGGCAAUGACGGUACCUGAGAAGAAAGCCCCGGCUAACUACGUGCCAGCAGCCGCGGUAAU